rnacentral:rRNA from 1 species
GAUGAACGCUGGCGGCGUGCCUAAUACAUGCAAGUCGAGCGAACGGACGAGAAGCUUGCUUUUCUGAUGUUAGCGGCGGACGGGUGAGUAACACGUGGAUAACCUACCUAUAAGACUGGGAUAACUUCGGGAAACCGGAGCUAAUACCGGAUAAUAUUUUGAACCGCAUGGUUCAAAAGUGAAAGACGGUCUUGCUGUCACUUAUAGAUGGAUCCGCGCUGCAUUAGCUAGUUGGUAAGGUAACGGCUUACCAAGGCAACGAUGCAUAGCCGACCUGAGAGGGUGAACGGCCACACUGGAAGUGAGACACGGUCCAGACUCCUACGGAAGGCAGCAGUAGGGAAUCUUCCGCGAUGGGCGGAAGCCUGACGGAGCAGCGCCGGGUGAGUGAUGAAGGUCUUCGGAUCGUAAAACUCUGUUAUUAGGGAAGAACAUAUGUGUAAGUAACUGUGCACAUCUUGACGGUACCUAGUCAGAAAGCAACGGCUAACUACGUG